GAUGAACGCUGGCGGCGUGCCUAAUACAUGCAAGUAGAACGCUGAAGGAAGGAGCUUGCUCUUUCCGGAUGAGUUGCGAACGGGUGAGUAACGCGUAGGUAACCUGCCUGGUAGCGGGGGAUAACUAUUGGAAACGAUAGCUAAUACCGCAUAACAGUAGAUGUUGCAUGAUAUCUACUUAAAAGGUGCAAUUGCACCACUACCAGAUGGACCUGCGUUGUAUUAGCUAGUUGGUGAGGUAACGGCUCACCAAGGCGACGAUACAUAGCCGACCUGAGAGGGUGAUCGGCCACACUGGGACUGAGACACGGCCCAGACUCCUACGGGAGGCAGCAGUAGGGAAUCUUCGGCAAUGGACGGAAGUCUGACCGAGCAACGCCGCGUGAGGGAAGAAGGUUUUCGGAUCGUAAAGCUCUGUUGUAAGAGAAGAACGAGUGUGAGAGUGGAAAGUUCACACUGUGACGGUAGCUUACCAGAAAGGGACGGCUAACUACGUG
rnacentral:rRNA from 1 species